AAUCCGUGUUGUGGAAACUUCCACAAUAGGUCAUUGAAUCGCUCCCAUGUCUCAAACAAGGACUCGAGCUCCAUCUGAACAAACGACGAUAUCUCAUUGCGAAGCUU